UACGUAGGGUGCGAGCGUUAAUCGGAAUUACUGGGCGUAAAAGGGUGUGCAGGCGGUUUUGCAAGAUGGAUGUGAAAAGCCCCGGGCUUAACCUGGGAAAGCCAUACAUGACUGCAAGACUAGAGUGCGUCAGAGGGGGGUGGAAUUCCAAGUGUAGCAGUGAAAUGCGUAGAUAUUUGGAAGAACACCGAUGGCGAAGGCGGCCCCCUGGGACGCAACUGACGCUCAUACACGAAACGCGUGGGGAGCGAAA
rnacentral:rRNA from 1 species